GAUCUUGGGCGAUCACUGCCUCUCUGGGCCUGUGUCUUAGGCUCUGCGUGUUCGACCGAGCAAAGCACACGGCCUGCAGAGAGCCAGCGCUCCGCUC
rnacentral:pre_miRNA from 15 species